rnacentral:lncRNA from 1 species
CUCUUAUAAAAUCAUACAGGAAACAUUAUCAAACAUAAAAUGAUGUUUGACUUUCUUUAUUCUAAAAACUAAUAAAAAUAGGUGCUAAAAAUUUUCCAAAUGAAAAUAAAUAUUGCUAAACCAAAGAGAAAUGUUAUCUAAGCCCCGUAUAAAAAAUAAAUAAAUCUUGUUCCAAUUGCAUCAAAAAACCCAUUAAGGGCCCUCCAGCACAGGGUUAAUACCAACGAGUUUCCACCUCCAGCUGCUCCUAGAGUGGCCACAGCAUGAGCCAUCUGGUGGGGGACCUAGCCGCCAACAGACACUUCCUGUACAGGGGAGGGGGGAGGGGGCCAGGCAGCCGUUAGACAGCACAACCGAACCCAACACCGGGGCCCAACGGCAGGGGCUUGGGCAGGAGCAAGGUCCGAGGGCUGCCAGGUCCACGCUGCUUUUAUGAGCUGUAACACUCACCGCGAAGAUCUGCAGCUUCACUCCUGAGCCCAGCGAGACCACGAGCCCACCGGGAGGAACAAACAACUCCAGACGCGCUGCCUUAAGAGCUGUAACACUUGCCGUGAAGGUCUGCAGCUUCACUCCUGAGCCAGCGAGACCACGAACCCACCAGAAGGAAGAAACUCCGAACACAUCUCAACAUCAGAACGGACAGACUCCAGACGCACCACCUUAAGAGCUGUAACACUCACCGCGAGGUUCCGCGGCUUCAUUCUUGAAGUCAGUAAGACCAAGAACCCACCAAUUCCGGACACAGUAGCAUUUGGGAAUAAUAAGAAUUGUAGCUGGGCAUGGUGGUACACGCCUGUAGACCCCUAGCAGCUGCCAUCAUCCUCACCAUCCGCAUAUUAUUGAUAUAUUAACUCUUUGAUGGCAACCAUAGCUUAUCCCCCUUAUCUCCCUAUGCCCUACAGCAGGGCAGUGGAAUGGUUAAGAGGCUUUGAAGUCUAAGAGUGCUGGCUUAAAACCCUAAUUUGUCAUUUUGGAUGUGUGGCUUUGGACACUUGGGGCAGGUCACCUAUGUUCUUCAAGCCCUGUAUCCUUAUCUGUCAGAUGAUGAUUUUUUUUUUUUUAGACGAAGUCUCACUCUCUUGCCCGGGCUGGAGUGCAGUGGCAUGAUCUCGGCUUACUGCAAGCUCCACCUCCCGGGUUGACGCCAUUCUCCUGCCUCAGCUUCCUGAGUAGCUGGGACUACAGGCUCCUGCCACCACCCGUGGCUAAUUUUUUUGUAUUUUUAGUAGAGACAGGGUUUCACCAUGUUAGCCAGGAUGGUCUCGAUCUCCUGACCUCGUGAUCUGCCCGCCCCAGCCUCCCAAAGUAUCAGAUGAUUUUAACAACUAUGCUUCCAUGACUUGCUGGGCUAGAUGAUAUGACUGUAAAAUGCCUAACCCAUGGUUUAGCAUCAAGUAAGCAAAUUGUAAAUGGUAGCACUGCUCUGCCUAUGACUAUUUAGUCUUGUGCUUUAAACUCAAAUAUUUGUUGGCCUACUGAAGUCACCACACAGAGAAAGAUGCUUUUCAUUCUCAGUAAAGAACUUUGGGAGAUAACUGGGGCAGGCAGCAAGAGAACAGAUGUCAUAUGUCUAGCAUCAGCAAACUCAUCAGAACUGAUGGGCAGCUCACUUUGCUUAGAACCUGCACCAGCAUACACACGGGGCUGCUUCCCAGUCACACUGCUCCUGGGAAGGUAGGGGGGCUGCUGUUCUGCAAUUAGCGCGGUUCUUUACCUCCUAUUACCGAACUGCCAGAGUUCAUUUGUGUUCAGUUAGGUAGAUGACCAAUUCUUGUUCAUUCCUAUUUUCUUUUGCUCACUAAUGUGUUUAACGUUCACUAACCUACCAAAUGUGAUUUAUUAGCGACUUUUUCUUUGAAGAUGGAGUGGAGGAAUCCUAGCGCUUUCUGCAACAUGCUACUGCUGUUAUGGAACAGUGCAGAUAUGGAAGUGCAUCAGCCGGGGAUGGGGAGAGGCUAGGGCAGUACAUGUGAAUGGAGAGGUAGCCCCACCAGUGUGUUUUCUGAAAUACAGUCCCGCAGAGGGCAGUCUUGGGAAAUUACUGUUCUCACACACUCUUCUUGACCCUACCCCUCCAGCACCUCCCUUGCUAUCCAAGGGUUGGGAUUUUUAAAAAGAAAAACAAAUUUUAAAAAAAGCAGUGUGAAUCUUUUGCCAUCUUGUAAGGGUGAAAAGCCCCCUACCAAGUCGGGAUGAACAUUCAUGCGUGUGCUUGAGGGCUUGGGAAAAAGACAGGGCUUGGCCCCACAGUGCAGGUAGGCCCAGUGAUCCUAUAAUAGGGGCCAGGAGAUGGGAGGUCCCCUGUGGGCAGGAGUUCAAGUAUGUGGUAUUAUAUGACUGGUGCUUGAUGAACCCAGGGAGAGGGCACCAAAAACAAUGGUAUUUAAUUGUAAAAUCUCCACCCCCUGAGGAUAUGUUUUCAGGUCUGGGUGACUAAUUAGACUGGGAAACAAGGGCAGGAACGAUGGCCCUGUGCUUGCUCUGCCCGCUGCCUCUGUGGAUGUGUGGGCUGCUGGCUUCAGUCCUGCUUUUCUUUCUGAUGGUAUUGUUUAUGCUAUGUGUUUUUGCAGGAGGCCUGAGGUGGGCUGGGUUCUCCUCCUAUGGCAGGGCUUCACUCUCCUCCUCCUUCUCUGUUGGGGCUUCACUGUCCCUGGGAUAAGAAUAACAAUGCCAAGGUUUUCAUUCUUGAAAGGAGCAAUUAAGCGUCUCACCCCCUCCUCAUUUUAGAUGGGAACUGUGAGGGUCCCGUCAUUUACCCAGGGUCCCUGUUGAGGAUCUUGUCCUCAUUAGAUGACUUCUUGUGCAGCUUCCAUGCGUGAUUCUUUACUCUUGUGGCACUGAGAGGUUUGUACAUGUCUUUAAGCCAGAGCGGCUUUCUGAAUGAAAAAAGUCCAUCCUAGAAGAUAGAAAGGGAAAUAUUAAUUUUGCAUGUCCUCUGCUUUCCCUGGUCACAGCAAUGAAUCCUCCAAUGUACCUGACUCUCCCUUUGCGAAGAGCAUCUCCGUGGCAGAAAUCUGAAAAUGCCCCUGGGGAGACACAUGCACAAGACAGUUCGUGAGCCACACAUCUCCCCACACCAAGCUCCUCCAUACAAGACCUCGGACUGCAUCACGUAAAUGCUUUUUCAGGGGCAAAAUCUAGAGAAUCUGAAACGAGCUAUCAGCUUCCCAGUUUGCACAAUUCAUCAAGAAAUUAUGCGGGGUCACUGGCACAAAUGAUGAGGCAUCUCCUGGAAGCUUAACUUCUUAUCCAUCCCAUCUCUUGGACAGAUGAUGCCAGUUAAUUACUUUGAAUGUGGCCUAGGGAUUUCUGGGAGGAUCCGAAGAACAAGGCUGUCUGCAGUAGGAGCCUCCUGUUCCUCGCCACCUAAGCUUCAGCCCUGCCCAACUAACAGCUCUCCAUGUUCUAAAGAAGGUGGGAGUGCUGGACCACCCCAGCCUUCUGGAACCCCAGUUCUGUGACAUUAUCCAUCUCCUGGAAAUAUGCUGGUUUUAACCAUGCAAACUGGCCAAGCAUCAGGCAGAAAUAGCAGCUGUGCCUGGAAGGACAGGUGACAUCUGUGAAGAAAAUGGCCAAGCAGGACAGGGUGGAGAGCACGGGCUGUUCCCUUCCUUUCUGGGAACAGCACCACCUUUGGGGGAACUCCUUCUCUCAUGGGGUUUUAGGCAGGGGCUGCCAGUCCCAGGGCCCUGCCUCCUGUCACCCCCCAUAUGCAUAGGAACACUUGUGCACCAGUCGCUACAUUUGCAAGUGGAAGCUGGUGGAGCUGCUCAGCUCCCAACAGGAAGCCCAUGUGUGCGGGGCCAGAGGACACAGCCCAUCUGAGGCGCUAAGCUUCUGUGAAGAGGGAGUGGAGUCUGGAUGGGAUUCCAAUCCCACGGUCCACCCCUUCUGGGACCCAGACUCACCCUUCCCCUUCCUUCAAUUCUGAGAAACAAUAAAUGUCCCUACUUGCGAACAA